CCUGACGCGGGGCUCGAACUCACGGACCGCGAGAUCGUGACCUGGCUGAAGUCGGACGCUCAACCGACUGCGCCACCCAGGCGCCCCUUACAUUUCUCUCUUUUCUACAAAAGGAACUAAGAGUCAUCAAGAACCUAUGCCAAAACCAGAACCCACACCAGAACCUUCCUUCUCAAAGCAACUGCGAGGGAAGAGAGGCUCUUUACUCCUUUUCGGACGCUAUCAGUCUAUUGUUUUCUUUUAUUAAAAUAUAGAUACAGGGAGUUUUUCCUUUUUCCUCUUAAAUCCUAGGAACUAAAGAAAAGCAACGACUUCUUAGUUGUACUAGGUUGGUAACAUGCUGACAGUCUUAACAGAAAGAAAAGUGGAGGAGGAGAUAGGACGGGAUCUUCAGCUAAAGGCUCAGGGAAGCCGGCUGGUCUUCCUUCUAAAAAUUCGCUGAGUCAACACUAAGUACUGCUUUAUAACUGGAUCAUCAAGGUCUCCCUACAGGAGCCAGAAAGAAAGAUACAGUGUUUUUGUUUUUUGUUUUUUGUUUUUUUUUUUUACUACUGCCAUUCUUUCCAAGCUUUUUCAAGGCUGGUAAACAGAGUGAACUUGGCCAGAUGGAAGAUGAUAGAAAAACCAGGCCUGUUAAAACCACCAUAAUCACCAACUGUGGAUAGAUCUAAAAUUAUAAAUCGAACAGUCACGUAAGACACAGUCUUGCCUCCGACGACGACUCUGUGUGGCGGGUGGUUCGCCUGCGUGCUAAUCCUAAGGAAAUUCGAGGUGGUUUCUCUUUGAUACUUUGGAGGGGAGGGGAGGGGAGGGGAGGAAGCCGACUAAAGAAACCCUGCACUGGCACACGCACACCACACAGCAACCUGCAUUUUGGCUCGCAGAUAAGAAAAGACCUACUUCUUUCACUCCUGGUACUAGGCCCAAACAUUCCCAAAGGCCGUACUUUGCCCAGGCCUUGCUAUGAUGUCUAGCCAGCUAUCUCUCACACAUUUCCUGGGUUUACCAGCAUUCCUUCAACAGGCAGAGGCCCAAUCGUUCUGGCCUUGGCACAAAUGCCUAUGACACUCGGCUCUCCCGGUGAAUGAGGAACUGUAGAAUCUGUCACAGAGCUUGAACCGACACAGAGCAUAACCCUGGAGAGGUUCUGUGUCUGGCUGAGUGAGAAAAGCAGCAGGGGAAUUUUAGACAGAAGCACAGGCCUUUAUCCUUCAUGUGCUGAAGAACCAUGUCCCUCAAGGCGAAGAGACUGGGAAGAGCUAAGAUUCCGCAGGAGGAAGGCCAGGUGAACUUUGUUUUGUGGGAAAGAAGGAAGGAGAGUAAGAAGUGAAAUAUCACUUCUACAGAACUCUGAGCAUAAAAGAGUUUCUUUCUUCUUCUUUUUUUUUUUUUUUUUAGGCCCCCCUAAAAGUGGUUUCUUUUUGUGAUUGUGCUCUUUGGCUAGAGAGUGUUGUUUAUAUAACAGUAUAAAGUACAAAAUUAUAAGCUCCAAACUCCUCCAGAGAAAAGCUCUCCCAAAGCUCGACCCCCAGGAUAGAUGGAAAAUAUGAGUGUUUACUGGCUGGAACAUCGAGCUGCAGUGGAAACUUCAACAUUCAGAAGAAGAUAGCAGAGAGGAAGGGCCUGUUGAGUAGGCAGAAGUCACCCUUCAACAAAGGGGUCAGAGGAAAAGGAAGAGUCUCCAGUUGGCUGCACUCUGAUGCCUUCCCUCCCUCAGCGGGAAAGGCCACAUCUCUGCAAUCCAGCCCCAGGAGCACACCAUACAUGGGUGAUGGCCAGUUUCUCCCAUACUAGAUAUAAAAGCAAGUGGGUAGCAAUAUCAGACCCCAUCAAGUCCAGUUUUAACUUUCAUUUUUUUCUGGGAAGAAAACGAAACAUUAUCAACAACCUACCACUAAAAUCAGGCGCUAAACUGGCUUUCAUGUACAGAACUCAAUUAAAUCUUACAACAACUUAAUGUGGUAGCCAUCAUUUGCAUAUCUAAGCAGAGGGGGAAAUUGUGGCCCAGAGAAGCAAAGUAACUUGCCCAAGGUCGCAUACCUAGUAAGGCACACCCAGGUCUUUCCAACUCAACAGUCCCUUCUCUUUCUAUCACAUCAUGCCACCUUCCUCAGACAGGUCAACGGCCCCCUUUCCUAUAUAGUUAACAUGCUCUUAAAGAAAUAGAAGCAUUUAAAGGACUAGGCUCAGAAUAAGUCCCCGUACAGACAGGCAGAGGAUAGGAGCAAAACGUUGCCAUUUUAAUCACUAAGUAAAAUGCGUGCGCAACUAUGGGGUUCUCUUUUAAAUCCUUACGAUACUCCUUUGUAGUACAGUAAAAAACACCUAACUUUGAAUUUACCACCUAACGAUUUCUGCGUGUAUAGUUCAAUAAUAUUAAGUAUAUUCACACUGUCGUGCAACUGAUCUCUAGAACCUUUGCAUCUUGCAACACCGAAAAGCUGUAGCUACUAAAUACUAAUACCCCUCUCCUCUUCCCGCAGCCCCUGGCAACCACCUUUCCACUUCCUGUUUCUACGACUCCUUUAGACACUUCAUGUGGAUGGAAUGAUACAGUACUUGCCCUUUUGUGACGGGCUUAUUUCACGUAACGUAAUGGCCUCAAGGUUCACCCACGUGGCAGCGACCAGAUUAAAUCCUUCCACACUCUUCUUGAUAUCUUUUCUUCUAAUUGCCUGGGCCAGAAAAUUUAAAUCUUUGUUAUGUGCCAUUUGACAUGACUCUGCAAUUUUUUCCCCUUCUCUGCCAGACGGUGACUUCUUUGUGAUCAAAAACCAUGUUUUCCAAAUCUUUUAGACCGUACCCAGCGCCCGGGAUGAUGCUGAGAACAUGAAAGAUACAUCAUGGACAGUAAGCUCCGUGAGAUCAGGCACUCUUCUGUUUUAUUUAUCAUGACUCCCCGGCACCUGACCUAAUGCCUGGCACAUGGAAAACGAAUAAGAUGUAUUUUUUUUUUUUUUAAAUACCAAACUCGAUAUUUCUGAGGACUGAUUAAGCAC